GCUGUGGUGUAGUUGGUUAACACGCCAGAUUGUGGCUCUGGAGAUCGAGGGUUCAAGUCCCUCCAG
rnacentral:tRNA from 1 species